UACGAAGGGGGCUAGCGUUCGUUCGGAAUUGACUAGGGCGUAAGCGCAGCGUAGGCGGAUAUUUAAAGUCGGGGGUAGAAAUCCCGGGGGCUCAACCCCCGGAACUGCCUUCGAUUACUGGGUAGUCUUGAGUUCGGAAGAGGUGGAGUGGAAAUUUGCGAGUGUAGAGGGUGAAAAUUCGUAGAUAUUCGCAGGAACACCAGUGGCGGAAGGCGG
rnacentral:rRNA from 1 species